rnacentral:tRNA from 1 species
GAAUCAAGAUAUUUUCAAAAUAAAGCUUCUAACUUUAAUUAUUAAGCGGUGCAAAUCCGUUUUUGAUUCU